GCCUCGUUCGUCUAGCGGCCUAGGAUGCCACCCUUUCAAGGUGGAGACCACGGGUUCGAAUCCCGUACGAGGUACUA
rnacentral:tRNA from 1 species